GCUGGGUUAGCUCACUCAGUUAAGGCGCCGCAUUGCGGAGCAGUAGUGACAACCACGCCCGGGUUCGAUCCCCGGUCCCACCA